rnacentral:tRNA from 1 species
UCCCCAGUGGCGCAAUUGGUUAGCGCGCGGAUCUUAUAAUGCCGAGGUUGUGAGUUCGAUCCUCACCUGGGGAA